UUUCCGUAGGUGAACCUAUGGAAGGAUCAUUGUCAUCCAAUCCGCCGGUGACGGCACCGUCUGUCGCUCGGCCAAGUCCUCGACCGCCUCCCCUCCUCGGAGUGGGGGCUCGGGGUAAAAGAACCCACGGCGCCGAAGGCGUCAAGGAACACUGUGCCUAACCCGGGGGCAUGGCUAGCUUGCUAGUCGUCCCCCGUGUUGCAAAGCUAUUUAAUCUACAUGACUCUCAGCAACGGAUAUCCUGGCUCUC
rnacentral:misc_RNA from 1 species